UAUAGGAAGGGGAAAAAUAGAAUUACAACCUCAUAUAGCUCAGAAAGCUUUAGAAUUUCCAGAUAAACUUGAAGAUAUUAAACAAUUACAAAAGUUUUUAGGACUUGUUAAUUAUGCUAGACCUUUUAUUAAGAAUUUAGGAAAAAUUGCAGGACCUUUAUAUGGGAAAACUUCACCAAAAGGUCAAAGAUACUUUAAUAUAGAAGAUGUUAAAUUAGUUCAAAAAAUAAAAGAAAAAUUAAAAGAUUUGCCUAAAUUAUCUAUGCCAUUAGAAACAGGUUACUUAAUUAUUGAGACAGAUGGUAGUAUAACAGGAUGGGGAGCAAUACUUAUUGCAAAACCUAACAAAUACUCAGAUAAAGAUACUGAAAAAAUAGUAAGAUAUAAUAGUGGAAAUUAUAAAGAAAAAGGUAAUAUAAGCAGUAUAGAUUUAGAAUUACUUGCAGUAAAUUAUGCAUUAGAUUCAUUUGAAUUAUUUAUUAUUUCUAAAAAAGAAAUUACUUUAAGAACAGACUGUGAAGCAAUUGUAAGUUUUGUUAAUAAAAUGAAAUUAGAAAAUAAAAGAAGUAAUAGAAGAAGAUGGUUAAAUUUUAUUGAUAGAAUUACUAAUACUGGAAUAGUAAUUAAUUUUGAGCAUAUUAAAGGUAGUGAUAAUCAGAUAGCAGAUAUUUUAAGUAGAAUAAUUAAAAAUAAAGAUUAUGAUUAACCAUUUAUUGCAGAUGCAAAGAGGUCCCAGACCAGGAUUGCCAAUUGUUGGCAGUUCCAGUUCUCAGACAAAUAUACUCCAGACUCAUGAUAAGUUAAGAUUUGGUAAUAUAGAACUUCUUUGUUUUCCUAAUAGCAAUAUUAGUUUUAAGAUACUUUCUCAUAUUUCAGUAACAAAGGCAGAAAAAUGUAUUUUAGAUAAUUUAUGGAUUUCUUAUAAUAAGAACCUAAAAGACCAAAAAUAUUUUUUAGCAUGUUUAAAUGCUCUUUCAGAACAUUUUAGUCAAGAUCAUAAACAAUUCAAAUGUUAUGUUGUUUUAAAUGGAAGACUUCCAGGAAUUUACCAUACCUGGUUAGAAGUUCCAGAUUGUAUUAAGAAUUUUCCAAAUCCUCUUUACAAAGGAUUUUAUUCAAUUUCAGAAGCAUUAGAAGAAUGUAGAAAAUUUAUUGGCCCAAAUUAUUUUAUUGCUCCUUCUUUAAAAAAUGUUUCAGAUCAACCUUUAGAUUUUUCUUCAAGAUUUUGUGAUCAUUGUGAAUGUACG
rnacentral:lncRNA from 1 species